AUUGCACGUCUAAGCAGUAAGGCUGAGUAUUAGGCAAAUCCGGUACUCGUUAAGGCUGAGCUGUGAUGGGGAGAAGACAUUGUGUCUUCGAGUCGUUGAUUUCACACUGCCGAGAAAAGCCUCUAGAUAGAAAAUAGGUGCCCGUACCGCAAACCGACACAGGUAGUCAAGAUGAGAAUUCUAAGGUGAGCGAGCGAACUCUCGUUAAGGAACUCGGCAAAAUGACCCCGUAACUUCGGGAGAAGGGGUGCUCUUUAGGGUUAACGCCCAGAAGAGCCGCAGUGAAUAGGCCCAAGCGACUGUUUAUCAAAAACACAGGUCUCUGCUAAACCGUAAGGUGAUGUAUAGGGGCUGACGCCUGCCCGGUGCUGGAAGGUUAAGAGGAGUGGUUAGCUUCUGCGAAGCUACGAAUCGAAGCCCCAGUAAACGGCGGCCGUAACUAUAACGGUCCUAAGGUAGCGAAAUUCCUUGUCGGGUAAGUUCCGACCCGCACGAAAGGCGUAACGAUUUGGGCACUGUCUCAACGAGAGACUCGGUGAAAUCAUAGUACCUGUGAAGAUGCAGGUUACCCGCGACAGGACGGAAAGACCCCGUGGAGCUUUACUGUAGCCUGAUAUUGAAAUUCGGCACAGCUUGUACAGGAUAGGUAGGAGCCUUUGAAACGUGAGCGCUAGCUUACGUGGAGGCGCUGGUGGGAUACUACCCUAGCUGUGUUGGCUUUCUAACCCGCACCACUUAUCGUGGUGGGAGACAGUGUCAGGCGGGCAGUUUGACUGGGGCGGUCGCCUCCUAAAAGGUAACGGAGGCGCUCAAAGGUUCCCUCAGAAUGGUUGGAAAUCAUUCAUAGAGUGUAAAGGCAUAAGGGAGCUUGACUGCGAGACCUACAAGUCGAGCAGGGUCGAAAGACGGACUUAGUGAUCCGGUGGUUCCGCAUGGAAGGGCCAUCGCUCAACGGAUAAAAGCUACCCCGGGGAUAACAGGCUUAUCUCCCCCAAGAGUUCACAUCGACGGGGAGGUUUGGCACCUCGAUGUCGGCUCAUCGCAUCC
rnacentral:rRNA from 1 species